UUUUUGUUAAAAUAAUUUAAAAUUGGGCCUGCCCACUGAUUAAUUAAAGGGCCGCAGUAUUUUGACUGUGCAAAGGUAGCAUAAUCAUUAGUUUAUUAAAUGUAAGCUUGUAUGAAUGGUUUGAUGAAAAAAUCUCUGUCUCUAAUUUAAAAUUAAAAUUUUAUUUUUAAGUUAAAAAGCUUAAAUUUUAUUAAAGGACGAGAAGACCCUAUAGAGUUUUAUUUUUACUUAAAAUUAAAUAUUUAGAAUUUUUAUAUUUUAUUUAAGAUAAAAAUUUAAUUGGGGUGAUUAAAAAAUUUAAUUAACUUUUUUUUAUUCUAAAACAAUAAUUUUUGAUUAAUUGAUCCAAAUUUAUGAUUAAAAGAUUAAAUUACCUUAGGGAUAACAGCGUAAUUUUUUUGGAGAGCUCAAAUUGAUAAAAAAGAUUGCGACCUCGAUGUUGGAUUAAAAUAGUCUUUAGGUGUAGAAGCUUAAAAGUUAGGUCUGUUCGACCUUUAAAAUUUUACA
rnacentral:rRNA from 1 species